rnacentral:rRNA from 1 species
UAUGGCUCAGAUUGAACGCUGGCGGCAGGCCUAACACAUGCAAGUCGAGCGGAAACGAGUUAACUGAACCUUCGGGGAACGUUAACGGCGUCGAGCGGCGGACGGGUGAGUAAUGCCUGGGAAAUUGCCCUGAUGUGGGGGAUAACCAUUGGAAACGAUGGCUAAUACCGCAUAAUGCCUUCGGGCCAAAGAGGGGGACCUUCGGGCCUCUCGCGUCAGGAUAUGCCCAGGUGGGAUUAGCUAGUUGGUGAGGUAAUGGCUCACCAAGGCGACGAUCCCUAGCUGGUCUGAGAGGAUGAUCAGCCACACUGGAACUGAGACACGGUCCAGACUCCUACGGGAGGCAGCAGUGGGGAAUAUUGCACAAUGGGCGCAAGCCUGAUGCAGCCAUGCCGCGUGUAUGAAGAAGGCCUUCGGGUUGUAAGGUACUUUCAGCAGUGAGGAAGGUGGUAGUGUUAAUAGCACUAUCAUUUGACGUUAGCUGCAGAAGAAGCACCGGCUAACUCCGUGC